rnacentral:miRNA from 1 species
UAUCAGACUUGUUGCAAGGUUGUUCCACAAGUCCGAUACAGUCAUGAUAUAACAAUAUUAUUACACUGACAUUGUGUCGUCAACCUUGUAACAUUCUUGUUAUAUCGUGACUGUAUCAGACUUGUCAGAACAACCUUGUACCAAGUCUGAUA